UGUGAAUUGCAGAAUUCAGUGAAUCAUCGAAUCUUUGAACGCACCUUGCGCUCCUUGGUAUUCCGAGGAGCAUGUCUGUUUGAGUAUCAUUAA
rnacentral:rRNA from 1 species